rnacentral:rRNA from 1 species
UACGUAGGGUGCGAGCGUUGUCCGGAAUUAUUGGGCGUAAAGAGCUCGUAGGCGGUGUGUCACGUCGAUCGUGAAAACUUGGGGCUUAACUCUGAGCUUGCGGUCGAUACGGGCAUCACUGGGAGUUCGGCAGGGGAGACUGGAAUUCCCGGUGUAGUGGUGGAAUGCGUAGAUAUCGGGAGGAACACCAGUGGCGAAGGCGGUUGCCUGGAGCUUUGCUGACGCUGAGGCGCGAAAGCGUGGGGAGCGAUCCGG